rnacentral:rRNA from 1 species
UACGUAGGUGACAAGCGUUGUCCGGAUUUACUGGGCGUAAAGAGCGCGCAGGCGGUCGUUCAAGUCGAGUGUGAAAGCCCCCGGCUCAACUGGGGAGGGUCAUUCGAUACUGAUCGACUCGAAGGCAGGAGAGGGUAGUGGAAUUCCCGGUGUAGUGGUGAAAUGCGUAGAUAUCGGGAGGAACACCAGUGGCGAAGGCGGCUACCUGGCCUGUUCUUGACGCUGAGGCGCGAAAGCUAGGGGAGCAAACGGG